rnacentral:rRNA from 1 species
UACAGAGGUCUCAAGCGUUGGUCGGAUUCAUUGGGCGUAAAGGGGGCGUAGGUGGCGCCGUAAGUCAGGUGUGAAAUUUCGGAGCUUAACUCCGAAACUGCAUUUGAUACUGCGGUGCUUGAGGACUGGAGAGGAGACUGGAAUUUACGGUGUAGCAGUGAAAUGCGUAGAGAUCGUAAGGAAGACCAGUGGCGAAGGCGGGUCUCUGGACAGUUCCUGACACUGAGGCACGAAGGCCAGGGGAGCAAACGGG